rnacentral:rRNA from 1 species
UACGUAGGGUGCAAGCGUUGUCCGGAAUUAUUGGGCGUAAAGAGCGCGCAGGCGGUCGUCCAAGUCGCGUGUGAAAGCCCCCGGCUCAACUGGGGAGGGUCACGCGAUACUGGUCGACUCGAAGGCAGGAGAGGGUAGUGGAAUUCCGCGUGUAGCAGUGAAAUGCGUAGAUAUGCGGAGGAACACCGAUGGCGAAGGCAAUCCCCUGGGCCUGCACUGACGCUCAUGCACGAAAGCGUGGGGAGCAAACAGG